CGGAGUUUGGCCGACCGACCUGUCGACCCUUAACAUCGCUCACCACUAUGCCGGAGUACCCGUGUGCUCUCCUCACGUGCGCGCGCUCCUAGGUUUGCGCCCUGUUCGCGCGACGCCGAGGGCGGCAGCUGCCGGUGACGAUGACCUGUCAAAUUGACGCUUGCGCAAUCAGCUGAUCGGCUGAUUCCUUACAGCUUGGCCAUUCUGCUCAGAAUUUCGCCGCGAAAUUACAGAUUUAUUAUUUUUUUUUUUAACAAUUGUACAACGCAUAUCCCGGGUUCAUCUAUUCUAUGCAGGGUUUGAUUCUAUCGGCUGAAAGGAUAGUGUCAAGAGGUUUCUGUUUGAAAUUGAAGCCUGGGAUAUUCUUGACUACAUAUCUACUAUUACCCAGACUCUUUGCAAUGAGGUCCUCAUCAACCGUGACAGGGGUCUUUGUGAAGCUGGCUAAGGAGUGAUCUGCAUGGUUGCACUGGUCAAAGCAUAACAUCAACUUUGCUGGACCAGAUUUGAUUACCGAGUGGAGUCUUGCAGUGGACCGAAGUGGUCUACAUGCAGUGCAUCUAAAGGUAUCUUGGGCAACGGAUACAGCUGAGAUUUUCUCUCAAAUCUAUUCAACGCGUUAUUAGCAGUGAGACAAGAUUCUAGGGUCUGUUAGCUGAAGGAAUUCAAGCUGUCUUUCUAGCGGGAGUUCGUCUACAUGUGCUACGCUCCGGCUAAGGGCGUCUACGUGCGCCAUGCGACUACCAGGACGGUGUACAAUAUCGAAGCUGUUCGCAUUCGUAGCUGUGAUACUUCGCCUCCGCGGCGUUCGUGCCCUGGCUGAAGUACGCUACCGGUCCCCAGUUAUCACGACGCUGGAGAAGAAUCGCACCGAAUCCUAAGCUACAUGCGUCGGUAUGCAAUUGGGUUUCAGCCGACGUAUUAUACAACCACAGCAACGGAGUGGAGGUACAACUCGAGCACAAUAAGGCGAGACGCUGGGUUUUAUAAUUCCGCGGGCUAGGAGGUCGUCCGUAAUUUGUCGUAUCUGCGUCCGCUCGACAUUUGCGAAGCGCCUAGGUGCGAACGCAUAGAUCGACGGAUCUUUCAAGUGAACGUGUACCGCAAAAUCGUCGCUAACAGAUUCGAGUCUUCAUCUAUACAAAGGGGCAAGUGCGAAAACAUGUUUACUUGGUCGCGUUCACCUUGUGCCGCUGGUUCGUACACUAAGGAUUUUAUCUAUACGGACUAGCGGAUCAUCGACAAUUAAGUUACGCGCAUCCUGGGUCGCUGCUACGAGGUCGGACGCUACCGUAUCGGCCGUUACGCUGGCCGCAGCGAUCCCUGCUGCUGGCUGCACCCUGGUCGCCGACUUCGUCUCCUUCUUAAGGAUAGGGCAAUCGAACCGUCGAUGCCCUUUUUCCUUACAAUAGAAACAGGAGUCCUUGCCACCUUUGCUGGACGGACCCGCCUGCGGGGACUUCUUAUCCCACUCGGAGGCGCCCUGGGUGAUCCGCCGCAUCCUCUCCAGGAAACCGUCCAAGGAGUCCUCCGAUAGAGACAGCGCAGUCGCAUUCAACGUCGUCAGGGUGAUUCCGCUCACCAGUCGCUCCACGACUCCACCGCGGCGUCUCCCUGGACGUCGUACCACCGGCGGGCCGAUUUUGUAAGGCGGCUGGAAGCUGCUUGGAAGAUCGCUCCAUCAGAGACGCUGUGCACCUGGACGACUUUGUCAACUCGUCGCACCCACGCGUGCACGUUGUUUUCGUCCUGGCCCGCAAAUUCCGGGAUCUGUGAAGCCAGCGCCUGGACUGAUCCGCCCGGCGUCCAGGACUGCUGUCCAACGGUCAAUUUUGUCCGUCGGCGAAACUCUCGGGGCCCUCGAGGGUCCCGGCGGGGAAACUGGCUCCGCUUCAUGGUGCUGAACCGGGGCAGCGGCGGUCUCUCGUCGCUGCUCCAAAACUACAUUGAACAGUAGGUUCAACUGCUGCUGCUGGAGGGCCACCAGCAUCUGCCUCAUCAGGUCCGUCGUCUCCUGCGUUUCCGAUGACGUCGCCUGCAGUUCCGAUGCCGUCGCCUGCGGCUCCGAGACCGUCGCCAACGUUUUCAACAGGUCUGCGGUCUUUGCCGGCACCGCUUUCUUGGUCGGACUAAGAGGAGGAGUGAGUUGGGCCAUCUCCUGUACUAGUCCAUGUCUUUCUAGAUGACUCAUAAUAGAGUCCAACAAAUGACUGCGGCCUUCCGUCGUUGGGAGUGCGUACCUCUCUGCUUUCUUACGAAGCUGUUCUAACGUGAGGUUUUCAAGGACUGUACCAAAGCGAAUAAAUCGCCUAUUUAUAAAAAGACAAA